CCUACGGGUGGCAGCAGUGGGGAAUAUUGCACAAUGGGGGAAACCCUGAUGCAGCAACGCCGCGUGAGUGAUGACUGCCUUCUGGUUGUAAAGCUCUGUCUUUAGGGAAGUAAAUGACGGCACCUGAGCAUGAUGGCACGUCUAACUUCGUGCCAGCAGGCGUGGUAAUACGCAGGCGGCGAGCGUUGUCCGGAUUGACUGGGGGUAAAGGGAGCGUAGAGGGUUUUUUAAGUCAGUUGUGAAAGUCUUGGGUUCAACUGGAAAAGUGCAAUUGAAACUGGAAGUCUUGAGUGCAUGAGAGGUAGGUGGAAUUCGUGGUGUAGCGGUGAAAUGCGUAGAGAUUAGGAAGAACACCGGUGGCGAAGGCAGUUCACUAAACUGUAACUGACACUGAGGCUCGAAAGCGUGGGGAGCAAACAGGAUUAGAUACCCUUGUAGUC
rnacentral:rRNA from 1 species